UACGAAGGGGGCUAGCGUUGCUCGGAAUCACUGGGCGUAAAGCGCACGUAGGCGGAUUUUUAAGUCAGGGGUGAAAUCCUGGAGCUCAACUCCAGAACUGCCUUUGAUACUGGGAAUCUCGAGUCCGGGAGAGGUGAGUGGAACUGCGAGUGUAGAGGUGAAAUUCGUAGAUAUUCGCAAGAACACCAGUGGCGAAGGCGGCGAUCUGGGUCGAUACUGACGCUGAGGUGCGAAAGCGUGGGGAGCAAACAGG
rnacentral:rRNA from 1 species